rnacentral:rRNA from 1 species
AACGAACGCUGGCGGCAUGCCUAACACAUGCAAGUCGAACGAGAACUUCGGGUCUAGUGGCGCACGGGUGCGUAACGCGUGGGAACCUGCCCUUAGGUUCGGAAUAACUCCCCUAAAGGGGUGCUAAUACCGGAUAAUGUCUUCCGACCAAAGAUUUAUCGCCUUUGGGUGGGCCCGCGUUGGAUUCGCUAGUUGGUAGGGGAAUAGCCUACCAAGGCGGCGAUCCAUAGCUGGUGUGGGAGGAUGAUCAGCCACACUGGGACUGAGACACGGCCCAGACUCCUACGGGAGGCAGCAGUGGGUAAUAUUGGACGAUGGGGGAAAGCCUGACCCAGCCGUGCCGCGUGAGUGAUGAAGGCCUUAGGGUUGUAAAGCUCUUUUACCCGGGAUGAUAAUGACAGUACCGGGAGAAUAAGCUCCGGCUAACUACGUG